GCAUUAAUGGGGUAGUGGUAACCUGGGUCGUUGCCAUUUCUAAGCUCUGUUUCCGUUUCGACCCGCCGGGGGUUCGAUUCCCUCUUAAUGCA